rnacentral:rRNA from 1 species
GUGCCAGCCGCCGCGGUAAUACAGAGGGUGCGAGCGUUAAUCGGAAUUACUGGGCGUAAAGCGCGCGUAGGCGGCUUUGCAAGUCGGGUGUGAAAUCCCCAGGCCUAACCUGGGAACUGCAUUCGAGACUGCAUGGCUAGAGUAUCGGAGAGGGAAGUGGAAUUUCAGGUGUAGCGGUGAAAUGCGUAGAUAUCUGAAGGAACAUCAGUGGCGAAAGCGACUUCCUGGACGAAUACUGACGCUCAUGUGCGAAAGCGUGGGGAGCAAACAGGAUUAGAAACCCCUGUAGUCC